rnacentral:rRNA from 1 species
UACAGAGGGUGCGAGCGUUAAUCGGAGUUACUGGGCGUAAAGGGCGCGUAGGCGGUUAUUUAAGAUUGAUGUGAAAUCCCUGGGCUCAACCCAGGAACUGCGUCCGAUACUGGAAGGCUUUGAAUCCGGGAGAGGGAUGCGGAAUUCCAGGUGUAGCGGUGAAAUGCGUAGAUAUCUGGAGGAACACCGGUGGCGAAGGCGGCA